rnacentral:rRNA from 1 species
UACGUAGGGCGCGAGCGUUGUCCGGAAUUAUUGGGCGUAAAGAGCUCGUAGGCGGUCUGUCGCGUCGGCUGUGAAAUCCCGGAGCUCAACUCCGGGUCUGCAGUCGAUACGGGCAAACUGGAGUACUGCAGGGGAGACUGGAAUUCCUGGUGUAGCGGUGAAAUGCGCAGAUAUCGUUUGGAACGCCGAUGGUGAAAACAGGUCGCUGGGGCUGUGCUGACGCUGAGACACGAAAGCCAGGGGAGCGAACGGG